AACGAACGCUGGCGGCAUGCCUAACACAUGCAAGUCGAACGAGACCUUCGGGUCUAGUGGCGCACGGGUGCGUAACGCGUGGGAACCUGCCUUUAGGUUCGGAAUAACUCAGAGAAAUUUGAGCUAAUACCGGAUGAUGUCUUCGGACCAAAGAUUUAUCGCCUUUAGAUGGGCCCGCGUUGGAGUAGCUAGUUGGUGGGGUAAAGGCCUACCAAGGCGACGAUCCAUAGUUGGUCUGAGAGGAUGAUCCGCCACACUGGGACUGAGACACGGCCCAGACUCCUACCGAGCGCAGCGGUGAGGAAUAUUAGACGCUGGGCGAAAACCUGAUCCCUCUCCGCCGCGUGAGUCAGACUGGCCUUAAGGUUGUAAAGCACUUUUACCCGAAAUGAUAAUGACAGUAUCGGCAGAAUAAGCCCCGGCUAACUCCGUG
rnacentral:rRNA from 1 species